rnacentral:tRNA from 1 species
AGAGAGAUGGCUGAGUGGUUGAAAGCGGCGGUCUUGAAAACCGUUGUACCUCACGGUACCGGGGGUUCGAAUCCCUCUCUCUCUG